rnacentral:rRNA from 1 species
UACCAGCACCCCGAGUGGUCGGGACGUUUAUUGGGCCUAAAGCAUCCGUAGCCGGUUCUACAAGUCUUCCGUUAAAUCCACCUGCUUAACAGAUGGGCUGCGGAAGAUACUAUAGAGCUAGGAGGCGGGAGAGGCAAGCGGUACUCGAUGGGUAGGGGUAAAAUCCGUUGAUCCAUUGAAGACCACCAGUGGCGAAGGCGGCAUCCUGGACCGACAUUGACGCUGAGGCGCGAAAGCCAGGGGAGCAAACGGG